CUGACGGCUACUCCUCAAGAUCCUCUCUGUUGUGAUUCAUCCCCCCCGGGCCCUACAGUUUCUCCUUCCUGACUCUUACAUUUCUUUGGAUGGCAUCAUUAUUUUAGGUGCCAAGCACUGUGGAUUCUGCCCCUCAGUGUCCAGACACCCAUUUUCCUUCCCACUGUUCCUUCCCCAUGGAGAAGCCUGUGGCUGGCUGACAGCAGAGAGAGAUGCUCAACUUGGAGAAGGUGUUACCUGGGCCAGGUGGGGAAGGUUUGUUUGCAGAGCAAAGAAGUGAAGGAAGUAUUAACCCUUUGCAUGGCCUCCUGAGAAUCCGACAAGACGUAAAUAGCCAAGAAUAUCUGUGGAACUUAAUCACUGAGUUACAGUAUUUAUCACUGCAAGUGUGUUGUUCAUUGACACUAUAAAGCCAUGUGGAAUUAAGCAGCCUUGAAACACAAAAUGGAGAAAGGCUGAGAGCUGAGAAUUGUUGCCUUCAGGAAAAUACAAUCAAUGUCAAGCAAACAACCACCCCAAAAUGGUUAGCUUUAUCAGCAUUCAGGCCUACAGUGAAAGCAAAUGUUCCAGAUCUGAGUUUCAAUUUUUAAAGAAUAAAC
rnacentral:antisense_RNA from 1 species